rnacentral:rRNA from 1 species
CCUACGGGAGGCUGCAGUGAGGAAUAUUGGUCAAUGGCCGGAAGGCUGAACCAGCCAAGCCGCGUGAGGGAGGAAGGCGCCGAGCGUCGCAGACCUCUUUUGCCGGGGGACAAAAGGCCGGACUCGUCCGGUCCUGAGGGUACCCGGAGAAAAAGCAUCGGCUACCUCCGUGCCAGCAGCCGCGGUAAUACGGAGGAUGCGAGCGUUAUCCGGAUUCAUGGGGUUUAAGGGGUGCGCAGGCGGGCCUUUAAGCCGGCGGUGAAAUCGCGGGGCUGAACCCCGCCGAGCCGUCGGAACUGGGGGCCGUGAGUGCGGCGGAGGCAUGCGGAAUGCGCGGUGUAGCGGGGAAAUGCAUAGAUAUCGCGCAGAAGCCCGAUUGCGAAGGCAGCGUGCCGUGCCGCCACUGACGCGGAGGCACGAAAGCGCGGGGAUCGAACAGGAUUAGAUACCCUUGUAGUC